AAUUGGCUGAAAGUGGUGAAGGAUGAGUACUCAGAUAUUAUAAGAGAGCACUCUCCACUCAAGAGAUUCUGAAAAUAAGAUAAGAUCAAAUCAGAUCGCUUGCUACCAGAUAUGGCGUCGGUGCAUGCUAGCUUCACAUCAGUUGUAUGCAAGAAUGGGAACCAUUCUGCUCCUACAAGGUUUCCAUGCACAACCUUCUUACCUGGCUUUGAUGUUGGUCGUGUUUCAAAUGCUUGUAAGAAGGAAAUAUGUCCUUCUAUGAGUUCAGUUCCUAAAGCCACAUUAACUUUUGAUCCUCCAACUACCAAUUCGGAGAGCAAACAGAGGAAACAUACCAUAAACCCUGCUUCUCCUGAUUUUGUGCCACUUCCAUCAUUUGAAGAAUGUUUCCCAAAGAGCUCAAAGGAAUGCAGGGAAGUUAUUCAUGAACAAUCUGGCCAUACACUCAAGGUUCCCUUCCGAAGGGUGCAUUUAUCCGGAGAUGUGCUAAACUUUGACACAUAUGACACCAGUGGUCCUCAAAACAUCGAUCCACGCAUUGGACUCCCUAAAUUGCGUAAGGAUUGGGUCGAUAGACGAGAAAAGCUUGGUGCACCAAGAUACACUCAGAUGUACUAUGCGAAGCAGGGAAUUAUUACUGAGGAAAUGUUAUAUUGUGCUACUCGUGAGAAGCUUGACCCAGAAUUUGUUAGGUCAGAGGUUGCCCGUGGGAGGGCAAUCAUUCCUUCCAACAAAAAGCACUUAGAGUUGGAGCCAAUGAUAGUUGGACGGAACUUUUUGGUCAAAGUAAAUGCAAAUAUUGGAAAUUCAGCUGUUGCAAGUUCUAUUGAGGAGGAAGUUUACAAGGUUCAAUGGGCAACAAUGUGGGGUGCUGAUACUGUUAUGGAUCUCUCAACUGGACGCCACAUUCAUGAGACCCGUGAAUGGAUUCUACGUAACUCUGCUGUGCCAGUUGGAACCGUGCCCAUCUAUCAAGCACUGGAAAAAGUAAAUGGAAUUGCUGAAGAUCUUAGUUGGGAAGUCUUCAGGGACACCCUGGUUGAGCAAGCUGAGCAGGGUGUAGAUUACUUCACCAUCCAUGCUGGGGUACUUCUGCGAUACAUUCCCUUAACUGCAAAGCGCAUGACAGGAAUCGUUUCUCGCGGGGGAUCUAUUCAUGCAAAAUGGUGCCUGGCAUAUCAUAAAGAGAACUUUGCUUAUGAGCAUUGGGAUGACAUACUAGAUAUCUGCAACCAAUACGACGUGGCACUUUCAAUUGGGGAUGGACUAAGACCUGGAUCUAUAUAUGAUGCAAAUGACACUGCUCAGUUUGCUGAGCUUUUAACCCAGGGGGAGCUGACUCGUAGGGCUUGGGAAAAGGACGUACAGGUAAUGAAUGAAGGACCUGGACACAUCCCAAUGCACAAGAUUCCUGAAAAUAUGCAAAAGCAGCUUGAGUGGUGCAAUGAAGCACCUUUUUAUACCCUUGGUCCUUUGACAACUGAUAUUGCUCCAGGAUAUGAUCAUAUCACUUCUGCAAUUGGUGCAGCCAAUAUUGGGGCCCUUGGCACAGCACUUCUUUGUUAUGUUACUCCAAAGGAGCACCUUGGGUUGCCAAACAGAGAUGAUGUGAAGGCUGGUGUAAUAGCAUAUAAGAUAGCUGCUCAUGCUGCUGAUUUAGCCAAGGGUCAUCCACAUGCUCAGGAAUGGGACGAUACAUUAAGCAAGGCGAGAUUUGAGUUCCGAUGGAUGGACCAGUUUGCUUUGUCACUGGAUCCUAUGACUGCCAUGUCCUUCCAUGAUGAAACACUUCCAUCUGAAGGUGCCAAAGUUGCUCACUUUUGCUCCAUGUGUGGACCGAAGUUCUGCUCCAUGAAGAUAACAGAGGAUGUUCGUAAGUACGCCGAGGAGCAUGGUUACGGGAACCUGGAGGAAGCCAUGCAACAGGGGAUGGAUGCUAUGAGCGCUGAGUUCCUGGCUGCUAAAAAAACAGUGAGUGGUGAACAACAUGGUGAAGUUGGUGGGGAAAUCUACCUGCCGGCCAGUUAUUUCAACUCUUCGGAUAAGUGAGAGCAAGGUUACAUGAAGAAGGAUAAUUGCUUCGGAAUCCCUGGGAGCCCUGGUGCAUUAUAAUUAGCUCACUAAUAACAGUUGUAUUUGCAGUCAUUUGACUAUCGUGCUUUAGGGGUGCCUGUAUCCGUGUUUCGGCACACGGCAUUUUGGCCGAGAUGCCCAGCGGAUGAGGCUGAGAAAGUCCCUUUGAACCUGAACAGGAUAAUUCCUGCGUAGGGAGUGUGCUUUAUUGUUGCUUGGUUGAACAGGAAUGGAGCUCCCAUGGCCUGAUGGUUUGAGCUUAGCUGAUACUCGAGGGCAGAUACAGCUCUAUGCCCCAACUUUUCACUCCGGAAUUUGCCUUAUCGGGUAAAACUAAAAUUGGUAAAUUUGCCAAACUUGAAACACUGGCUCUAAUUAUAAUUUUAAUCCAUC